GACGAACGCUGGCGGCGUGCUUAACACAUGCAAGUCGAACGGAAAGGCAGUGCUUUGGUGCGGUGCUCGAGUGGCGAACGGGUGAGUAACACGUGAGUAACCUGCCCUUGACUUUGGGAUAACUUCAGGAAACUGGGGCUAAUACCGGAUAGGAGCUGAUGUUGCAUGGUGGGGGUUGGAAAGUUUCGGCGGUUGGGGAUGGACUCGCGGCUUAUUAGCUUGUUGGUGGGGUAGUGGCUUACCAAGGCUUUGACGGGUAGCCGGCCUGAGAGGGUGACCGGCCACAUUGGGACUGAGAUACGGCCCAGACUCCUACGGGAGGCAGAAGUGGGGAAUAUUGCACAAUGGGCGGAAGCCUGAUGCAGCAACGCCGCGUGCGGGAUGACGGCCUUCGGGUUGUAAACCGCUUUCGCCUGUGACGAAGCGUGAGUGACGGUAAUGGGUAAAGAAGCACCGGCUAACUACGUG
rnacentral:rRNA from 1 species